rnacentral:rRNA from 1 species
CUACGGGAGGCAGCAGUUAGGAAUAUUCUACAAUGCGCGCAAGCGUGAUAGAUUGAGCCAGAGUGUUUUUCAAAUGAAAAGCUUUUGUGAAAUGUAAAAAGUUUCACGAAUAAGGACUGGGUAAGACUAGUGCCAGCCGCCGCGGUAAUACUAGCGGUCCAAGUCGCAGCCAUUUUUAUUGGGUCUAAAACAUCCGUAGCUUGCUUAAUAAGUUCCUUGUGAAAUUUUAUCUCUCAAAGAUAGAGCGUGCAAGAAAUACUGUUAAGCUAGAGACUGGAAGACGUAACGAGUACGUUCGGAGUAGCGGUAAAAUGUGUUAAUCCUGGACGGACUAACAAUAGCGAAGGCACGUUACGAGGACAGUUCUGACAGUAAGGGAUGAAGGCUAGGGGCGCAAAACGGAUUAGAUACCCUCGUAGUC